rnacentral:lncRNA from 1 species
AUUCAGACAGUAUCUCAUUUAAAAUACUUUUGGGCACAGUGGAAUUCAGGGAGUAAUGAAGAGUCCGGCUACCACAGCAGGAGGCAUUAAAACAAGCCCAGAAGAUUGAUCCGAGGAGCCAGCUGAUGCGGCCUGAGGACAGCAGACUGGUUGUGGGCACGUGGCAGAGAGCAACUAUCAAGAGUACAGCUGACAAUGCAGGAUCCAGGAGGUAGAACCUGUGAGCAACACAGGAGCAUCAGCUUGCUCAACCAAGCUUUUCCCUACACGACAUCAAAAUUCCCUGCUGUCACAGCUGUGUGCUGCUCACUCUGUUCAGUGUGAUAGUCCAACAAGCCAAGUUGGGAUGUGGAGCUGCUUGCUCCCACCCGUGAAGAACAAAGGUUUAAGAAGACAAAGGGGGAGACUUAAAAGACAGAAAAAGCAGAAGAAUGUAAAAAUUGAGCUUACAUCAAUAUUUUAAAGUAUGGAAAAAGGCUGAAUUCUGCUGUCAUGGAAUCUGAUCGCAAAUCUCCCUUGAACAUGGAUCUGAGAGUGUGCCAUAAAAAGAGAAAGCAAUCUUUCUACAUAAUAAAAUCAUAAUAAAGUGCGUUUGUGCUUUUUUU